GCCNUGCCGCGUGCAGGAAGANUGCCCUAUGGGUUGUAAACUGCUUUUAUACAGGAAGAAACACUGCUACGUGUAGCAGCUUGACGGUACUGUAAGAAUAAGGACCGGCUAACUCCGUGCCAGCAGCCGCGGUAAUACGGAGGGUCCGAGCGUUAUCCGGAAUCAUUGGGUUUAAAGGGUCCGCAGGCGGUCAAUUAAGUCAGAGGUGAAAUCCCAUAGCUUAACUAUGGAACUGCCUUUGAUACUGGUUGACUUGAGUCAUAUGGAAGUAGAUAGAAUGUGUAGUGUAGCGGUGAAAUGCAUAGAUAUUACACAGAAUACCGAUUGCGAAGGCAGUCUACUACGUAUGUACUGACGCUCAUGGACGAAAGCGUGGGGAGCGAACAGGAUUAGAUACCCUGGUAG
rnacentral:rRNA from 1 species